rnacentral:rRNA from 1 species
UACGAGGGGGGCGAGCGUUGUUCGGAAUUACUGGGCGUAAAGCGUGCGCAGGCGGUUUGUUAAGUCCGCUGUGAAAUCCCCGAGCUCAACUUGGGAAUUGCAGUGGAUACUGGCAAGCUGGAGUAUGGUAGAGGAAGGUGGAAUUCCCGGUGUAGCAGUGAAAUGCGUAGAGAUCGGGAGGAACACCAGUGGCGAAGGCGGCCUUCUGGACCAAUACUGACGCUCAUGCACGAAAGCGUGGGGAGCAAACAGG